rnacentral:rRNA from 1 species
UACAGAGGUCUCAAGCGUUGUUCGGAUUCAUUGGGCGUAAAGGGUGUGUAGGUGGCGCGCUAAGUCGGGUGUGAAAUUUCGGAGCUUAACUCCGAAACUGCAUUCGAUACUGGCGUGCUUGAGGACUGGAGAGGAGACUGGAAUUCAUGGUGUAGCAGUGAAAUGCGUAGAGAUCAUGAGGAAGACCAGUGGCGAAGGCGGGUCUCUGGACAGUUCCUGAUACUGAGACACGAAGGCCAGGGGAGCAAACGGG